rnacentral:rRNA from 1 species
UACGUAGGGUGCAAGCGUUGUCCGGAAUUAUUGGGCGUAAAGAGCUCGUAGGCGGUUUGUUGCGUCGGCUGUGAAAUCCCGAGGCUCAACCUCGGGUCUGCAGUCGAUACGAGCAAACUAGAGUGUUGCAGGGGAGACUGGAAUUCCUGGUGUAGCGGUGAAAUGCGUAGAUAUCGGAAGGAACACCAGUGGCGAAGGCGACUAUCUGGACAGACACUGACACUGAGGCACGAAAGCAUGGGGAGCAAACAGG